GGGGGAAAGAUUUAUCGGAGAAGGAUCAGCCCGCGUUAGAUUAGAUAGUUGGUGGGGUAAUGGCCUACCAAGUCUACGAUCUAUAGCUGGUUUUAGAGGAUGAUCAGCAACACUGGGACUGAGACACGGCCCAGACUCCUACGGGAGGCAGCAGUGGGGAAUCUUAGACAAUGGGCGAAAGCCUGAUCUAGCCAUGCCGCGUGAGUGAUGAAGGCCUUAGGGUCGUAAAGCUCUUUCGCCAGGGAUGAUAAUGACAGUACCUGGUAAAGAAACCCCGGCUAACUCCGUGCCAGCAGCCGCGGUAAUACGGAGGGGGUUAGCGUUGUUCGGAAUUACUGGGCGUAAAGCGCACGUAGGCGGAUUAGAAAGUAUGGGGUGAAAUCCCAGGGCUCAACCCUGGAACUGCCUCAUAAACUCCUAGUCUAGAGUUCGAGAGAGGUGAGUGGAAUUCCGAGUGUAGAGGUGAAAUUCGUAGAUAUUCGGAGGAACACCAGUGGCGAAGGCGGCUCACUGGCUCGAUACUGACGCUGAGGUGCGAAAGUGUGGGGAGCAAACAGGAUUAGAUACCCUGGUAGUCCACACCGUAAACGAUGAAUGCCAGUCGUCGGGUAGUAUACUAUUCGGUGACACACCUAACGGAUUAAGCAUUCCGCCUGG
rnacentral:rRNA from 1 species